GGUGGAUUUCAAGGAAUUAAGCAAGUAAAGGCGGUGAGUCUUCUAACAAUGGUAAAGAGAUUGUACCCGAAGACCGAGACUAGGAGUACUUUGACUCCCGAUAUUCUUACUGCUGUGGGCGAGUUUCUGUGGACCAGCCUAU